CUACGACCAUAGCAUGUUGAAACACCGCAUCUCGUACGAUCACCGAAGUUAAGGAACGACGAGAUAGAUCAGAAUCUAGAUGGGUGACCUCUUGGGAAUACCAGGUGCAGUA